rnacentral:pre_miRNA from 1 species
GUAGUACUCCCUCCAUCACAAAAUUCUUGUCUUACAUUUGUUUAAAUACGGAUGUAUCAAGUCACGUUUUAGUAUUAGAUACAUCCGUAUCUAGACAAAUCUAAGACAAGAAUUUUGGGACGGAGGGAGUAUACC